CAAAAAACAUGUGUUUUCUGUUUUCUUGAGUAUAUAUAUACACCUAGGAGUAAAAUUACUGAGUCAUAUGGUAAUUCUGUGUGUAGCUUUUGAGGAACUGUCAAGUUUUUGCCCACAGGGCUAUACCGUUUUACAUUCCCACCAGCAAUGUACGAGGGUUCCAGUUUCUCCGCAUCUCACCAACACUUGUUAUAACCAUGCUAGUGGGGUGUGAAAGGACUAUUGCUUUUUGCUAAAGUAUAUAAAUGAAAGAUACAGUUCAGUAUUGAUAGCAUAUUGCCACAGAAUUGGUGGGGAAAUCAGUGGAUUUCAAUAUCGGUUUAUAUGUUCUAGGAGGAUGGACUCAGACAAGUUCUGGAGGAGAUGAAAGCUUUGUAUGAACAAAACCAGUCUGAUGUGAAUGAAGCAAAGUCAGGUGGACGAAGUGAUUUGAUACCAACUAUCAAAUUUCGACACUGUUCUCUGUUAAGAAAUCGACGCUGCACUGUAGCAUACCUGUAAGCUUCUCAGUUUUUGCUUGGGGUGGCAGGAUUUUCUGUGU
rnacentral:lncRNA from 10 species